rnacentral:rRNA from 1 species
UGAAUACGAGACGCUAAGGCGUCGAAGUAGUGUAUGUCAUACUUCCAAGAAAAGCUCGCACUGUCAUAGAUAAAAAACGCCUGUACCAUAACCGACACAGGUGGGUAGGUAGAGUAUACUAAGGGGCGCAAGAUAACUCUCUCUAAGGAACUCGGCAAAAUAACUCCGUAACUUCGGGAGAAGGAGUGCCUUAUUCGUAAGGUUGCAAUAACAAGAUCCAAGCAACUGUUUAUCAAAAACACAGGUCUCCGCUAAGUCGUAAGACGAUGUAUGGGGGCUGACGCCUGCCCAGUGCCAGAAGGUUAAAGAAGUUGGUUAGCAAUUGCGAAGCUGAUAACUGAAGCCCUGGUGAACGGCGGCCGUAACAAUAACGGUCCUAAGGUAGCGAAAUUCCUUGUCGGGUAAGUUCCGACCCGCACGAAAGGCGUAAUGAUUUGGAUACUGUCUCGGAGAGGGGCUCGGUGAAAUAGACUUGUCUGUGAAGAUGCGGACUACCUGCACCAGGACAGAAAGACCCUAUGAAGCUUUACUGUAACUUGAAAUUGAAAUUGGACUUUAUUCGCGCAGUAUAGGUGGGAGGCGUUGAUUAUAAUCUUGUGGGAUUAUUGGAGCCAUCAGUGAGAUACCACUCUUGUAAUGUUAGAUUUCUAACUUUGAAUCAUUAUCUGGUCAAAGAACAGUUUCAGGCGGGCAGUUUGACUGGGGCGGUCGCCUCCUAAACGGUAACGGAGGCGUACAAAGGUUUCCUCUGAACGGUUAGAAAUCGUAUCUAGAGUGUAAAGGCAUAAGGAAGCUUGACUGUGAGACCUACAAGUCGAGCAGGGACGAAAGUCGGUCUUAGUGAUCUGACGGUACUGAGUGGAAAGGCCGUCACUCAACGGAUAAAAGUUACUCUAAGGAUAACAGGCUGAUCUCCCCCAAGAGUUCACAUCGACGGGGAGGUUUGGCACCUCGAUGUCGGCUCAUCGCAUCCUGGGGCGGUAGUACGUCCCAAGGGUUGGGCUGUUCGCCCAUGAAAGCGGUACGCGAGCUGGGUUCAGAACGUCGUGAGACAGUUCGGUCCAUAUCCGGUGUAGGCGUUAGAAUAUUGAGAGGAGCCUUCUUUAGUACGAGAGGACCGAGAAGGACAUACCUCUGGUGUACCAGUUAUCGUGCCAACGGUAAACGCUGGGUAGCUACGUAUGGAGUGGAUAACCGCUGAAAGCAUCUAAGUGGGAAGCCCACCUCAAGAUAAGUAUUCUCA